GCUGGCGGCGUGCCUAAUACAUGCAAGUCGAGCGGACAGAUGGGAGCUUGCUCCCUGAUGUUAGCGGCGGACGGGUGAGUAACACGUGGGUAACCUGCCUGUAAGACUGGGAUAACUCCGGGAAACCGGGGCUAAUACCGGAUGGUUGUUUGAACCGCAUGGUUCAAACAUAAAAGGUGGCUUCGGCUACCACUUACAGAUGGACCCGCGGCGCAUUAGCUAGUUGGUGAGGUAACGGCUCACCAAGGCAACGAUGCGUAGCCGACCUGAGAGGGUGAUCGGCCACACUGGGACUGAGACACGGCCCAGACUCCUACGGGAGGCAGCAGUAGGGAAUCUUCCGCAAUGGACGAAAGUCUGACGGAGCAACGCCGCGUGAGUGAUGAAGGUUUUCGGAUCGUAAAGCUCUGUUGUUAGGGAAGAACAAGUACCGUUCGAAUAGGGCGGUACCUUGACGGUACCUAACCAGAAAGCCACGGCUAACUACGUGCCAGCAGCCGCGGUAAUACGUAGGUGGCAAGCGUUGUCCGGAAUUAUUGGGCGUAAAGGGCUCGCAGGCGGUUUCUUAAGUCUGAUGUGAAAGCCCCCGGCUCAACCGGGGAGGGUCAUUGGAAACUGGGGAACUUGAGUGCAGAAGAGGAGAGUGGAAUUCCACGUGUAGCGGUGAAAUGCGUAGAGAUGUGGAGGAACACCAGUGGCGAAGGCGACUCUCUGGUCUGUAACUGACGCUGAGGAGCGAAAGCGUGGGGA
rnacentral:rRNA from 2 species